AGGAGACUAUGCCUUCAGAGUAGCUAAAAUACAUCUUGGCUCUAUACUCAGAAGAUCUAUCUGGGGAUGGCCCCGGAGAGGAGCCUGAUGAAGGAAAAUGCUGGAGCCAGAGCCUAGUGAAUUUCUACUCCCAGGCUUGUUCAUACUCCACUGCUGCAACUGGCUAAACUAUGGCAGAGCCUUGAAGUCCUGGCUCAUGACAUAGCUGGAUCGCCCUUCUCAUGUCCCCUUCUCUUCAUGGCAGAAUUCUGUCUCAGGCUUCUUCAGGGUAUGCAGUGUGGUCUGCAGGGUGCUAGUGGAGUCUCCAGCAAGCAUAGCAGGCCCAGGAGACCCACUACUGCCUAUCUACUCCAGACAGAAGCAAGUGUAGUGCAUUGAGCUGGCAUGACUGACUGAGCAAUUGCACACAAGGGAGAGAACUACACAUGCUCAACAAGAUCUUUCAAGACUAUCAACUCAAAGAAAAACAACCUUAACAAUCUCUAUAAAUUUACCCACUCCAAAGCACCUCACCUGUAUGCUUCUGGCAUUCUUGACUGAAUCAUAAAUAACAGUGACCAUGUCUUCUUGCCUUUCAUCCCCUGCCUCUGAAAUUUUUGCCAGCAU